UGGGGAAUCUUGGACAAUGGGCGCAAGCCUGAUCCAGCCAUGCCGCGUGGAUGAUGAAGGCCUUAGGGUUGUAAAAUCCUUUCGCCGAGGACGAUAAUGACGGUACUCGGAGAAGAAGCUCCGGCUAACUUCGUGCCAGCAGCCGCGGUAAUACGAAGGGGGCUAGCGUUGUUCGGAUUUACUGGGCGUAAAGCGCGUGUAGGCAGGUCGUUAAGUUGGGGGUGAAAUCCCGAGGCUCAACCUCGGAACUGCCUUCAAAACUGGCGACCUGGACCUAAGUAGAGGCAAGUGGAAUUGCGAGUGUAGAGGUGAAAUUCGUAGAUAUUCGCAGGAACACCAGUGGCGAAGGCGACUUGCUGGACUUAUGGUGACGCUGAGACGCGAAAGCGUGGGGAGCAAACAGGAUUAGAUACCCCCGUAGUCCCUGAGCGGGCUGGCAAGGCGCAU
rnacentral:rRNA from 1 species